rnacentral:rRNA from 1 species
AUUGAACGCUGGCGGCAGGCCUAACACAUGCAAGUCGAACGGUAACAGGAAGCAGCUUGCUGCUUUGCUGACGAGUGGCGGACGGGUGAGUAAUGUCUGGGAAACUGCCUGAUGGAGGGGGAUAACUACUGGAAACGGUAGCUAAUACCGCAUAACGUCGCAAGACCAAAGAGGGGGACCUUAGGGCCUCUUGCCAUCGGAUGUGCCCAGAUGGGAUUAGCUAGUAGGUGGGGUAACGGCUCACCUAGGCGACGAUCCCUAGCUGGUCUGAGAGGAUGACCGGCCAACCGGGAACUGGGACACGGGCCAGGCUCCUACGGGGGGCAGCAGGGGGGAAUAUUGCACAAGGGGCGGAAGCCUGAUGCAGCCAGGGCGGGGGGAUGAAGAAGGCCUGCGGGUGGUAAAGUAUUUUCCGGGGGGAGGAAGGGAGUAAAGUUAAAACCUUUGCUCAUUGACGUUACCCGCAGAAGAAGCACCGGCUAACCCCGG